rnacentral:rRNA from 1 species
UACGUAGGGUGCAAGCGUUAAUCGGAAUUACUGGGCGUAAAGCGUGCGCAGGCGGUGAUGUAAGACAGAUGUGAAAUCCCCGGGCUCAACCUGGGAACUGCAUUUGUGACUGCAUCGCUAGAGUACGGCAGAGGGGGAUGGAAUUCCGCGUGUAGCAGUGAAAUGCGUAGAUAUGCGGAGGAACACCGAUGGCGAAGGCAAUCCCCUGGGCCUGUACUGACGCUCAUGCACGAAAGCGUGGGGAGCAAUCAGG